GAGGCAAAUAGGGGUGGCGUGGAACUCUUGGUGGAGCGGUGGAAUGCGUAGAUAUCAAGGGGAACGCCAGUGGUGAAAACGACGCACUAGGUUUGUCCUGACGCUGAGACACGAAAGCGUGGGUAGCGAACGGGAUUAGAUACCCCGGUAGUCCACGCCGUAAACGAUGUCUACUAGAUUGCGGAUGUUCUGACACAUUCGCGAUCGAAGCAAAAGUGUUAAGUAGACCACCUGGGGAGUACGGUCGCAAGGCUAAAACUCAAAGGAAUUGACGGGGGCUCACACAAGCGGUGGAGCAUGUGGAUUAAUUCGAAGCAACGCGAAGGACCUUACCUGGGUUUGACAUGUUUGGAUGCCUAUCUAGAAACAGAUUUUGGCUGCCCUUCGGGGUGAAACUUACACAGGUGCUGCAUGGCUGUCGUCAGUUCGUGUCGUGAGACGUCGGGUUAAGUCCUUCAACGAGCGAAACCCUUGCCGUUAGUUACCAGCGAGUAAUGUCGGGGACUCUAACGGGACUGCCGGUGUUAAACCGGAGGAAGGCAGGGACGACGUCAAGUCAUCAUGGCCUUUAUGCCCAGGGCUUCACACGUGCUACAAUGGCGGUUACAGAGGGAAGCGAUAUCGCGAGAUGGAGCAAAUCUCUUAAAGGCCGUCCCAGUACGGAUCGCAGGCUGCAACUCGGCUCGUGAAGGCGGAAUCGCUAGUAAUCG
rnacentral:rRNA from 1 species